AAGCCCAAUUCUACGUCUGCAUCAGGUUUUCCCGCGAUCUCUACUCUCAUUUUACUACUUGCUCCAAUAAAUUUGAUCGACUUCGUCUCUUUGAAGAACCUCGUGGUCAUCGGAGAAUUUGUUCUUCAUCUCCGUCGGCGGACGCGCCAUGGCAUUUUGGUGGACUCUGCUUGUUCUUGGAAUUGCUUACGCGAUCUGUAGGUUACUCUUGAUGCUCAUCCCUCCGAAUGUGCCUUCAAUCGAUGUUGACGCAUCUGACGUUAUGGACGACGGAAAUCAGACGCAGGAGAAUAGCUACAUCUACAUUCCACCUAGGGUAAAGACACAACAGCAAGACAAGAAAGUCCAGUGUUACGAGCCUGCAACUAUGAAAUAUCUGGGCUAUUUUCCUGCAUUGUCGCGAGACGAGGUCAAGGAGCGUGUCGCUUCAGCCAGGAAAGCGCAGAAAGAAUGGGCCAAAAGUAGCUUCAAGCAAAGGCGUUUGCUUUUACGGAUACUUUUGAAGUAUAUUAUUGAACAUCAAGAACUCAUUUGCGAGAUCUCCUCCCGUGAAACUGGAAAAACAAUAGUGGAUGCUAAUAUGGGAGAAGUAAUGGCGACAUGUGAAAAGAUUACUUGGCUUCUUUCAGAGGGUGAGAAAUGGCUGAAGCCUGAGAGCCGAUCAUGUGGAAGGGCAACACUUCACAAGAAAGCCCGAGUAGAAUUUCAUCCCCUUGGAGUUAUUGGGGCGAUAGUCCCAUGGAACUAUCCAUUCCAUAACAUUUUCAAUCCAGUGCUUGCAGCAGUUUUUGCAGGAAACGGCAUUGUAGUUAAGGUUUCAGAACAUGCAAGUUGGUCAGGAUGCUUUUAUGUCAGGAUUAUCCAAGCUGCACUUGCUGCUGUUGGAGCUCCUGAGAGUUUGGUUGAUGUGAUAACAGGGUUUGCUGAAACAGGGGAAGCGCUAGUAUCUUCAGUAGACAAAAUGAUAUUCGUUGGAUCUACUGGUGUGGGUAGGAUGAUAAUGAAAACUGCUGCUGAGACACUUAUUCCAGUUACUCUUGAGUUGGGUGGAAAGGAUGCAUUUAUCGUUUGUGAGGAUGUAGAUCUGGAUCAUGUUGUAAACGUUGCUCUCAGGGCUUCCAUUACAUCAAGUGGACAUAAUUGUACCGGAGCUGAGAGAUUUUAUGUCCACAAGAACAUUUAUUCUUCGUUUGUGGAUAGAAUAUCAGAACGUGUAAAGGCUAUUACAGUUGGUCCACCGUUAGCUGGGAAAUAUGAUAUGGGUGCCAUCUGUACGCAAGAGCAGUCUGAAAAACUUCAAAGCCUUGUAAAUGAUGCCUUAGACAGAGGGGCAAAAAUUGUUGCUCGUGGAACUUUCGGACAUUUACCUGAAGGUGCCGUUGAUCAAUAUUUCCCACCUACUGUUAUUGUUGAUGUCAACCAUACAAUGACGUUAAUGCAAGAGGAGGCAUUUGGACCAAUCUUGCCUAUAAUGAAAUUCAGCACAGAUGAUGAGGCCGUGAAGCUUGCAAAUGAUUCAAGAUUUGGGCUUGGCUGUGCUGUUUUUUCUGGCAGUCAGCGGCGUGCCAAGAAUAUUGCUUCGCAGAUACAUUCUGGAAGUGUUGCAAUUAAUGACUUUGCCACAAAUUAUUUGUGUCAGUCCUUGCCAUUUGGUGGUGUAAAAGAGAGUGGAUUUGGUCGAUUUGCGGGCGUUGAAGGAUUACGAGCUUGUUGUCUCGUUAAAGCAGUAGUUGAGGAUAGAUGGUGGCCAUUCAUUCAGACUAAGCAUCCUAAGCCUCUUACGUAUCCUGUUGCAGACAACGCCUUUGAGUUUCAGAUGUCACUCGUGGAAGCAACCUACGGCCUGAACAUAUGGGAUCGAUUAAGAGCAUUGGUCAAUGUUCUGAAGAUGCUGUCCGAGCAGAACACUGCGGCUAAAGACAACUCUACCAUUGAUGAUGGAAGUAAGAGAGCUGAUUGAAGGGCAAUUGGAUUUGCAAUAGAAGAUGUAUUAUUCACCUAGAAGGUGUUCUUGGAGGUAAGACCUUCGUCAAUAAGUCUCCCAAUUCGUCUUUGGAAGAAUAAGUCUCCCAAUUCGUCUUUGGAAGAAUAAGUCUCCCAAGUCAUCUUUUGAAGAAUAAAUCUCCCAAGUCGUCUUUUGAAGAAAUUUACUGAAUAGUGAUAUCGAUACUUUAUGCUUUAUCAUCUUCAUAAAUGAACACUAUUGGCUAGCCUCGUAAAUCAUCAAGAUUUUAACAUGAUUUAAAGUAGUUGUUAUGAUCUGCUUCAUAAGCUACUAUGAUAUAAAAAAUCUUCUCUAUGUACUAAGUAACCUGUUUAAGAUCUAGUUCUAAUGGAUUGGAUACGUAACUUGCAUCUU